GGGGGAGGUCCCGGUACCCCGGGGGUCUCCACGCCAACGCGGUUCCCGCAGGCGCCGGCGGCCACAGAGCCCCCCGAGGAGGCGGGGCCGCUGCUGGAGGAGGCGGGGCCUGUGGCGGAGGAGGCGGAGCUGCGGGCGACGCUGGCGGCGGAGCGGCGCGGGCGGGCGGCGCUGGAGCGGGAGCUGGGGCUGCUGCGGGCGGCGGGACAGGGGCUGGCCCGGUACGGGGGGGGGGGGACACCGGGUACCGGAAGCGGGGGUGUGCGGGGGUGUGACACCUGGGUGACAGCCAGUACCGGGGGAUGACUCCGGAUACGGGGGGGGGGUGUGUGUAUGACACCUGGGUGACAGCUAGUACCGGGGGGAGGGGGUGUGUGACACAAGGGACCCCGGGUACGACAGAGGUGACACUGUGCUAUAGGGCAGGGACAUGGGGGACCGGAGGGGGGCGUCCUGUGGGGCGUCCGGGGGUGUCCCUGAGGGUGUCCCCACAUGUCCCCACCUGACACCCCCCCACUUCCAAGGCGCCUGCAGGAGGCCGAGAGCUGCAACCUGGAACUGGAAGCAAAGCUGCAGCGGCUGCAGAGACCCCCCCCGGGGCCAGGGCCCCCCCCGCAGGAAGCCCGGCAGCGGGGGCCCCCCCCGGCUUUUCCGCUCCCCCCUGGGGGUGCCCCUAUCCCGGCACCUCCUGCUCUGGGCCCGGGUUCCCCACCCCAGUGCCACCAAGGACUGCCUGCUGCUCUGUGCCGCCGGCCUGCGCCCUGCUGCCCCCCCCGGGACACCCCCCUGAGAGGGGACCCAGGCAUCCAGCAAGGGCAGGGGGACCCAGGCACCCGGGCUCACCAGCACCCCCUCUUCUUGCACAUGACCCCCCCCCUCCUUCCCCACAGCAGGGGGGGGACACACACACAUGUGGGGACCCCAAGAUGGCUCUGGAGGGGAAGCAAUCAUGUCCUAGCCCCCCCACCCCCCAGGCAUGGUGGUGUGGGGACAGCAGCGCUGUGUCCCCAAGCUGUCCCCAUGUCCCCCUGUGCCACCCAUCAUGUCCCCAGUCUGUCCCCAUGUGCCACCCAUCAUGUCCCCAGUCCAUCCCUGUCCCACCACAUCACCCAUCAUGUCCGCAGUCGGUCCCUGUCCCACCACACAUCACCCAUUGUGUCCCCAGUCCAUCCGUGUGUCCCCAUCUCACCCAACAUGUCCCCAGUUGUCACCCAUCGUGUCCCCAGUGCCGGCACAUCCCCAGUCUGUCCCUGCGUCCCCACCUGGCACCCAGCAUGUCCCCCACCCGUCCCCAUG
rnacentral:lncRNA from 1 species